rnacentral:rRNA from 1 species
AGCAGCCGCGGUAAUUCCAGCUCCAAUAGCGUAUAUUAAAGUUGUUGCAGUUAAAAAGCUCGUAGUUGAAUUUCGGGACUAAUAUGUCGGUCGUGCCUCGGUACGUACUGGUUUAUUGGUUUCUCCUUUCUGAAGAACCAUGAUGUCAUUUAUUUGGUGUCGUGGGGAAUCAGGACUGUUACUUUGAAAAAAUUAGAGUGUUUAAAGCAGGCUCACGCUCGAAUACAUUAGCAUGGAAUAAUGAAAUAGGACGUUCGAUCCUAUUUUGUUGGUUUCUAGGAUUGACGUAAUGAUUAAUAGGGAUAGUUGGGGGCAUUAGUAUUCAAUUGUCAGAGGUGAAAUUCUUGGAUUUAUUGAAGACUAACUACUGCGAAAGCAUUUGCCAAGGAUGUUUUCAUUAAUCAAGGACGAAAGUUAGGGGAUCGAAGACGAUCAGAUACCGUCGUAGUCUUAACCAUAAACUAUGCCGACUAGGGAUCGGAUGAUGUUAAUUUUUAAUGACUCAUUCGGCGCCUUACGG